GAAUUGCAGAAUCCCGUGAACCAUCGAGUCUUUGAACGCAAGUUGCGCCCAAAGCCAUUAGGCCGAGGGCACGUCUGCCUGGGCGUCACGUAUCGCGUCGCCACCCCAACCCGCACACGUAUACCGUGCUGCGGGGCAUCAUGUGGGGGCGGAUAUUGGCCUCCCGUGCGCUUCGCCGCGGUUGGCCUAAAAGCGAGCCCCGGGCGACAGAACGUCACGAUAAGUGGUGGUUGAUAAGCCCCGGCCCUUCAAGUGUCAUGUCGUGCGUUGCCCUGUCGCUCGUUGGAGCUACGAGACCCCGAUGCGUCGUCCCCGACGAUGCUUCCAUCGCGACCCCA
rnacentral:rRNA from 1 species